AGAUCUUGACAUCCUCCGAAGAGCAUAGAAGUAUGCUUGUGCCUACGGGAACGGAGAGACAGGUGGUGCAUGGCU
rnacentral:rRNA from 1 species